GCAGUCGAACGCUUUGUCUUUACUUGAUCUGAAGAGCUUGCUCUGAUUUGAUUUUAUCUGACAAAGAGUGGCGAACGGGUGAGUAACACGUGGGUAACCUACCUCUUAGCAGGGGAUAACAUUUGGAAACAAGUGCUAAUACCGUAUAAUACCAACAACCGCAUGGUUGUUGGUUGAAAGAUGGUUCUGCUAUCACUAAGAGAUGGACCCGCGGUGCAUUAGCUAGUUGGUAAGGUAACGGCUUACCAAGGCAAUGAUGCAUAGCCGAGUUGAGAGACUGAUCGGCCACAAUGGGACUGAGACACGGCCCAUACUCCUACGGGAGGCAGCAGUAGGGAAUCUUCCACAAUGGGCGCAAGCCUGAUGGAGCAACGCCGCGUGUGUGAUGAAGGGUUUCGGCUCGUAAAACACUGUUAUAAGAGAAGAACGGCACUGAGAGUAACUGUUCAGUGUGUGACGGUAUCUUACCAGAAAGGAACGGCUAACUACGUG
rnacentral:rRNA from 1 species